rnacentral:tRNA from 1 species
AAGGGUGUAGCUCAGUGGUAGAGUGCGUGCUUAGCAUGCACAAGCUCCUGGGUUCAAUCCCCAGUGCCUCUA